rnacentral:rRNA from 1 species
ACUCCUACGGGAGGCAGCAGUAGGGAAUUUUCGGCAAUGGGGGAAACCCUGACCGAGCAACGCCGCGUGAAGGAAGAAGGUCUUCGGAUUGUAAACUUCUGUUAUAAAGGGAGAACGCUAUAUAUAGGGAAUGAUAUAUAGGUGACGGUACUUUAUUAGAAAGCCACGGCUAACUACGUGCCAGCAGCCGCGGUAAU